AGUCAAUCUAACCUAUGGACGUGGAUAACCUCGGGAAACUGAGAAUAAUUCUCGAUAGAUCAUAAUACCUGGAAUGGUUUAUGGUUAAAAUGAUUCGUCGCCAUAGGAUGGGACUGCGGCCUAUCAGCUUGUUGGUGAGGUAAUGGCCCACCAAGGCGAUUACGGGUACGGGCUCUGAGAGGAGAAGCCCGGAGAUGGGUACUGAGACAAGGACCCAGGCCCUAUGGGGCGCAGCAGGCGAGAAAACUUUGCAAUGUGCGAAAGCACGACAAGGUUAAUCCGAGUGUUUCCUGCUAAAGGAAUCUUUUGUUAGUCGUAAAACCACUAUCGAAUAAGGGGUGGGCAAGUUCUGGUGUCAGCCGCCGCGGUAAAACCAGCACCUCAAGUGGUCAGGAUGUUUAUUGGGCCUAAAGCAUCCGUAGCCUGUCAUGUAAGUUUCCGGUUAAAUCCAUGUGCUUAACAUAUGGGCUGCCGAAAAUACUGCACGACUAGGGAGUGGGAGAGGUAGACGGUACUCGAUAGGAAGGGGUAAAAUCCUUUGAUCUAUUGAUGACCACCUGUGGCGAAGGCGGUCUACCAGAACACGUCCGACGGUGAGGGAUGAAAGCUGGGGGAGCAAACCGGAUUAGAUACCCGGGUAGUCCCAGCUGUAAACUAUGCAAACUCAGUGAUGCAUUGGCUUGUGGCCAGUGCAGUGCCGCAGGGAAGCCGUUAAGUUUGCCGCCUGGGAAGUACGUACGCAAGUAUGAAACUUAAAGGAAUUGGCGGGGGAGCACCACAAGGGGUGAAGCCUGCGGUUC
rnacentral:rRNA from 1 species